UUGGUUAGAAUUAAAGGUUUGGUUAGGAUUUGAUUUAGGAUUUAGGAUUCGGUUUAGGAUUUAGGGUUUAGAAUUUGGUUACAAUUUCAUUCAGGAUUUGGUUUAGGAUUUGAUUGAGAUUUAUGAUUUGAUUAGGAUUUGAUUUAAGAUUUGAUUAAGAUCUGAUUUAGGAUUUGAUUAGGAUUUGGUUUAGGAUUUAGGGUUUGAUUUAUGGUUUAGGAUUUGAUUUAGGAGUUGUUUAGGAUUUAGAGUUUUUUUAGGAUUGAUUUAGAAUUUAUUUAGAGUUUGGAUAGAAUUUGGUUAGGGUUUGGUUUAGGAUUUAGGGUUUGAUUUAGGGUUUGGUUAGGAUUUGGUUUAGAAUUUUGAGUUUGAUUUAGGAUUUUUUAGGAUUUGGAUAGAGUUUGAUUUAGGGUUUGGUAAGGAUUUGGUUUAGGAUUUGGUUUAAGAAUUAGGAUUUGAUUUAGGAUUUAGGAUUUUAUUAGGGUUUGUUUAGGGUUUAAGAUUUAAUUAGUUUUGGCCUAAAGUUUGAAUGAAGUCCAAUAGGAUUUUAACUAGAAUUAAAUCAAGAUUGAAUUGAGAUGUAUUUGAGAGAUAUUUGUCAUCAUUUCAAUAUUUUUUUAAGAUUUCUUAUUAUUUCUUUGAAUUUUUUUUGAAGUUUCUUUGAAUUUGAUUAAAGCUUUUUUAGCAUUAUCAUAAUAUAAUUAGAAUUUAUUUAUUAUUCUAUUAUAGUUAGGAUUUUUUUGUUGCAAUUUCUAUUCUACCUUCCAUAGUCCAGUGCCCGGAGCAUUUUCAAGCAAGACUUCACAUAUUAUAACACCGUGUAUACAAACCAUAAGAACCUCAAGUACUUCAUGUCAGCACGUGUCUUGAAUCGUCAUCAAGUCCAUUGGAGCAUGUCUUUAUUUAGAUUCAAUUUCAAGUUCAUUU
rnacentral:lncRNA from 1 species